UACCUAUGAUCACAAACAGCAUAGGAAGCUGAGAUCAGGAGAACCAUAGUUUCACACCAGCAGAGGCAGAAAAGUUCAUGAAAUACCACAGAGGAAAAAAUGGGAUGCAGGUGUAUGUUCCAGGCACCCCAGCAACAAUGGGAAACCUCAAAUAACUGAAUACUAUCCAGGCAUGUGACUCAACAGGAAAUGAGACCCUACCUUAAAAUAACCAGUGGAUAUGUUUACAAUUGCUGCAUCCUCAUUUUUAUUGUCCUUCUUUGUCUCAUUUUAGAACUUCAGACUGGAAAUAUAUUUUAUUUAACAGAAACAUUUAAAAAAAUAACUAGUGGAAAAUGGAGCAGGAGGCAUGACUGUGGUAGAGUGACUACCUAGCAAGUGCAAUGCCCACCCACCAAAAAAGUACUACUUUACAACUAAAGAAUAUAGGUGACAAGUUGCUAUAUGUGCAAUUCUUUACUAAAUAUUUGUGAAAUAAUUUAUAGAGUAUCCAAAUAUGAAAAGGCAGUAAAAUUUUCUCUACUCAUUUCAGACAUAAAAACAAACUCUUAAUUCUGCUAUGUAUAUGAAGUCAAAGCUAAAAGAUUAUCUUGGUAUAAAUCUAUAUAACACCUAUAACCAGAAAUAAAGUGCAGGUUAUUUGUGACACACAUAACAAAUCUUUAGGAAAAUAUGAUAAAUAUAAGUAACUUUUUCCCAAGGUUAUUGCUUUUGAGUCAAUUACCUGGUAGACAGGAAAACUCUGUGUUUAGAAUGCCUUUUUAAUUCUUCCCACAUUUGAAAGGAAUGCUUGCCUAAGACCUCAUUUACUAAACUUCUACAAUCAAUUUGUCACAAUGACUUAUAAACUUGCACAUGGUUUUUCUUGGGUCCACAGAAUCAAAUUGAUUCAGCCCAUGAUCUAACUCUUAAGAAAGGAGGCUUUAGUUACAUGUCAAAUUGAAGUUUAUAAACUGAGAUUUUGUGUCUGCCUGUGUAUGCUUGAACUAAAGGCAUAGGCACUGUCACUGAGCACUUUUGCUCAAGACUAGUGCUCCAGCAAUUGAGCCACAGUUCCACUUGUGCCUUUUUGCUAGUUAAUUGGAAAUAAGAGUCUCAUAGACUUUUCUGCCCAGACUGGCUUUGAAUAGAGAUCUUCAGCCUCCUGAGUAGCUAGGAAUGAGCUGCUGGCAACCAGAUUAAACUGAGAUUUUUAAUUGGUUAUAAGAAUCCUGAAGGACAGAAGUUCUCCUUCAAUUAAUUAUUGACCCAAAAGUUAGAAGUCAUCUGUACCCUUAAAAUUCUUGGUUUUCAGUUAACAAACUACCCCUCAGAAUUCAUCGGGUUGGCACCCAUUCUAUUUAUUUCAAUUCAUUCAAUCAUUCAAAAAUACAAGUUAUUAGCCUAGAAUUUUUCCUUUUAAUUUUCCUUCAAACAUUUAUUGAGAGCCUAGAGCUUGACCAUUCAACAUAAUUCAUAACUACUAUCAAACAUCCAUAUAAAAAUAAUAGUCUAAUUAAGGGUUGAAGGUGACGCAAGUGGUAAAGCACCAGCCUAGCAAACGUGAAGCCCUCAGUUCCCCGUAUUGG